AUGAACGCUGGCGGCGUGCCUAAUACAUGCAAGUCGAGCGAACAGACGAGGAGCUUGCUCCUCUGACGUUAGCGGCGGACGGGUGAGUAACACGUGGAUAACCUACCUAUAAGACUGGGAUAACUUCGGGAAACCGGAGCUAAUACCGGAUAAUAUAUUGAACCGCAUGGUUCAAUAGUGAAAGACGGUUUUGCUGUCACUUAUAGAGGGAUCCGCGCCGCAUUAGCUAGUUGGUAAGGUAACGGCUUACCAAGGCAACGAUGCGUAGCCGACCUGAGAGGGUGAUCGGCCACACUGGAACUGAGACACGGUCCAGACUCCUACGGGAGGCAGCAGUAGGGAAUCUUCCGCAAUGGGCGAAAGCCUGACGGAGCAACGCCGCGUGAGUGAUGAAGGUCUUCGGAUCGUAAAACUCUGUUAUUAGGGAAGAACAAAUGUGUAAGUAACUAUGCACGUCUUGACGGUACCUAAUCAGAAAGCCACGGCUAACUACGUG
rnacentral:rRNA from 1 species